rnacentral:rRNA from 1 species
UGGGGAAUUUUGCACAAUGGGGGAAACCCUGAUGCAGCGACGUCGCGUGAUUUAGAAGGCCUUCGGGUUGUAAAAAUCUUUUGUAUGGGAAGAAAAUGACAGUACCAUACGAAUAAGGACCGGCUAAUUACGUGCCAGCAGCCGCGGUAAUACGUAAGGUCCGAGCGUUGUCCGGAAUCAUUGGGCGUAAAGGGUACGUAGGCGGAUAAGCAAGUUAGAAGUGAAAUCCUAUAGCUCAACUAUAGUAAGCUUUUAAAACUGCUCAUCUUGAGGUAUGGAAGUGAAAGUGGAAUUCCUAGUGUAGCGGUGAAAUGCGCAGAUAUUAGGAGGAAUACCGGUGGCGAAGGCGACUUUCUGGCCAUAUACUGACGCUGAGGUACGAAAGCGUGGGUAGCAAACAGG